GAAAAAAUGAACCGAGCAUGUUUGUGCUUUGGUAACGUCCAGACCCUGACUAUGCACACAGACUUCUCAGUCAAAGGCAUCGCUACUUGUAAUGUCUGUAUGUCUUCUGUUCAGAACUGGCUUAGAGAGGAACAGACACUGCAGAUAUUUCUUAUCCCAGUAGGUCUCCAGCUGCUUGCAACCUUCCAUGAUAGCCUGUAGUUAAUGCCCUAAGCUCUGAUGCCAGUCCUUUUUGCUGGGUAGGUUCAAUUCCCUUGGAAGCUGAGAGCCCCCUGGAAGCAACCCAACCACAGUAUCAGGACAGACAGCUGUAUAACUAGAACCCAUCAAAUGGUCCUCCAGUUUUGUUUUGUGCACACAGAAGCAGCAGCAGCAUCUCCCUUCAUUUAUAUUUGGGCAAAUCUCACAGCCAGAAGUAACCCAAACAUGAGGCAAAUGAGCAAGGAUGCGUCAGCGGCACUCACAUAUUUCUAGACUGGAGGUCCACACACAAUCCGUGGUACUUCUUCCAGAAUCCCACGCACUCACAGCAUCACCUUUGGCCUGAAGGCACCAUCUGCUUUACUGCCAUCAUGUAGCCUUACAGAACAGUUAUGACCCAUUUCACCUGCCUUGUGGGUGCCAGUUUGGGAAACCACAUCCUGUGCUGCUGCCUCUCCAUACUAGGUAGUAUUUCUAAGGGUACUGAAAACUUCAACAUACCAUCAUGCUACACAUGGCUCAAAGACAACAGUAAAUAAGAAACACGAGAAAGAAAUAGAAAAGAGCUUUAAAAAUAUGCAUCCCCCCCGAUCAGUAACAGAAAAACAUCUGCAAGAUGGAGAGAGAACAAAUCAGAAGAUAACUACAACAAACAUACAACUUGUAACUAAACACAUACGCAAUGGAGGAAGAAAAGACAUUUAACACAAGACUGAAAAACAUUGCUCCAGUCUGGGCUGAAGAGAAGACUUUGGUCUUCAAGGCUGGUUCAGGAGCAGUACAAUUUAAAGAAACAAAGCCCAUAUUGAUAAGGGCUUCUGCAGCCUGUAACAAAAGCUGCUGCAUCUUCUUGGGGAAUAGAAACAACUGUGUCAAAAGCU